GAACAGCUGAAAAUAAACUCAAAUCAAGGAGAAGAAAAAAUACAGGUUUCAUGCAACACAUGACAGUACAGUGUUCGCCCUGUUGAGCGGUAUAGGUGUGGAGGUGAAGUCUUUAAUUGAACCUGGAGAUGGUGUCUUGUUUGAGGUUCAACCGAGAGGACACCGGUCCAAUAGUUCAGGUUCUAUAUUACCACGCAAAAAGUUAUACAUUU